GCACUACUUUGCAUUGCUAUAGAGGACAAAGACUGCAGAGGAAGAAGAAGACAAAUGGUAGUUCUCAGAUGAAUUCAUCCCCUUAAAACCGCAAUAUGAAAGAGCUCAUUUCUCCAGCCAGGGGGACAAGAUGUGUAAUAUUUUCUGUGUUAUGAAAACACAGCAUCUACUAAAAGUUUGUAAAAAUUGAAGCACUCAUUUUUUAUCUCCUCUGUAGUCCCCUGGGAGAUCUAAAAGCAAUAAAUGAAAAGACUGUCGGUACCUCAAGAGGAUAAUGAGAAGCUUUAUUACCCAGGAAAGAAAAGUUUAUAUUGAAGCUCAGUGGAUACCAAUUCCAUGCAUGAGAAGAUAAAAGUCUGUUUUAAAAAAUGACCGAUAUUUUUUGAUGGUGGGAAAUAUUCCUCGGAUGCUGUAACGACAGGCACAAAGAGAGCAAUUGGAAAACACUUACAAACUGCUUGUGGUCUACUUUUCUGUCCUCACUCCACUUGCAGGGGUUGGUUCAAUAAAAGACGCCUUGAGUGUGCAGGGCUGAAGCUCUGUGGUACGCUGCUGAGGUGGUUGCCACAGCCCCUCCACACCCACCCCCCAAAGUUCAGACAGCAGUUGGUGCACACAGCGCCUCUGCAGCUACCAGCACUGCAGCAUCAGGCAGCCAGCUUCCAGACAGAAGAUUCCCUCCCUGCUGGAGUAAUGGGAAAAGCCCAAGGACUCCAUUUCUGAACCACAUAGAUGCAAAUGUGGUAUUGGAUAAAGCAAACACAAACGGACAUUUAUUUAUUUAUUCUUAGACUGUUAGCAUUCAGUUAAGGCUUAGAAAUGAAGUUAGCUUUAUAUUUACAUGUGGUUUUCAAAUGUAUUUAUUUAUAUAUAUAUAUAUAUGAAAUGUAUUGAGGAAAAGAGGAAUAAAGGUAGCCAAGCACAACACUUUGGCCUCAUGUACAGCAGCUGACAGCACUGAUCUUGGUCACACACAGGCCUGGUCCCUGCUGCCAUCAGGAGCGCUGUGAGUUGGAUCCAAUGCUCCUGUAUGCCCAGUCUGCUUUGUGAGUCACAUCCUGGCUCCGUAGCUCACAUUACAGAGGUGAUAUCUGCCUUGUCCUUAAGUGACAAGCAGCAGCUCACUUGCUGUGUGCUCCUGGGUGCACUGGUGUGGUGAGUGGAUCAAUGCUGCCUAGGACUUGGACUCACCAGACCAACAGGACAUGGAUGCUGCUGGGGCUCUGUGGUAUCUAAACCUGGGAUCAGCUUAGCUGUCUCGGCACCACAUAUCUCCCUUCUCCACAGUGAAAGUGAAGCUGUGCCAAGUCCUCCAUCCCUGUGCCAUGGACUCUGCUUUCUCUCCUUGUCUUCUCGUUGGUGUUGGGAAGGCUUGGUAUUAUCUGCCUUCCACAUGUGGAUCAGAUAAAUUCAGUGCAGCAUUACUGCAGGCACAAUACAGCCCAGCUACACCGAAUGCCACUUGAGAGGCAGCAUCUUACAAUCAUGAGAUGUUUGGUACAAUUUAUGUCUUGGAAAGAGUUGAGAUGCUGUCUGACAAAAGAAUCCAACCAUCUGGAAUCACUUGCACGACAGCUCUUUAUUUCUAAAUCCCUAAGCAUUAGAUCCUAAAGUCUGUGCACACCCAAAAAUCCCAUUAACGUUGACCAGAGAAAUGGCUGCAAACAACCUUGAAAUGAGAAUUUCUUCAUGCUAAAGGCAGAUUAAAUUCCAAGUUUAAAGUACCAAUUGAGCUUCUUAAUUGCUUCUUUCAGCUGUGGCUUUGUUAGAAGUAGAAAAUAAUUGCACAAGCAAUUGGCUAACUUAGAAAAGUCUGUUCUGAGGGGAGAUUUUGUAAAAUGUUAGAGAUAGCAGACCAUCUCUUUUUACAUUGCACCAGAAGAAGUCCAUAUUAACAAAAAAGGCCUGGCUUCAAGCGGAACUGCUGAAAUAGAAACUGAAGACAGCGCUACAAAUUGGUUUAUGUCAGUUUGGCUAUCCUGUGAGUAGAGCAGGGAAUAACUCAACAUUUCUGAGUUGGUAAUGUUUUGAAAAAUCCACCUCAUUUUGUAUUAGCACACACACCUUUAUGCAUCAAAAGGCUGCCUGUAAGUCAUUAUGGCAAGGCUUUGCAGUAAAGUGAAAGACAUUUCUGUGCAAACUUGAGAAUUUCCAGAUUAAUCUGUUUUCCUUUCACAUACUAAAAAGGAGCAAAAGUAUCUUAAAAUAAUUCAGAUGGGCUUUCAGUACCUUUUCUGAUUUACAGAAAUCGUUAUUUUCCUGAGGGAAAAAACCAACUUUUCUCACGCUGAAUUUGUUAAAAUAAGCCUUCACCAAUGAAAACACUCAAAUGGAAAUACCCUCUAAAGUAAGAAAUGUCUGCAGGUGUGAUGCAGAACACACGAGGCCCAUCUGUUGGGAAAGCUUGCAAUAAUUACUAUCUGUUUGCUGUAGGAGCAGUGUUACUUUAAACAACGUGGGUUUUUUUUGGCAUAAUGGUGAAUGCAAGGUCACGUGUACAAGCUUUGUUUUAGCAACAUGAGAAGCAGAAGCUCGUACUGUAAAGAACAGCACUUUGACUUGGAGGACAACAGAACUAACAAGAGCAAAACAUGCUGGAGGACACAGAGCUUGAGCUUGUCUUACCCACUAGCUAGCAAUGUGAUGCUGAAGAACCUGUAUUGUGAAGAAAUCAGAAUGAAUAUCGGAAUAUUUGAAAAUUAUACAGAUUAGUCCAUCUUCAAAGGAAAUUCAGAGGGCCCCGGCCAAACAGCCUGAUUACACAGAACAACAGCAGACAGCACCCAGCAUAAAUAAAAGCAAAGUAGUACACAGAAGGUAGACAAAAAGCAUGUGUCUACUCAGGGCACCACCACCGCCUGGCUUCUGGGAACUUCUGCUCAAAAAACCCCAACCCAUCAACAGAUGAGGUUCUGGGACAAAGACUGGAUUAGAAACCACGACAGGAAAUACAGUGAAGAACUAGUUACAUGGCACACUUCACAAUUUGACCUGCAUCUUUAUGAUUCUGAGCUGCAUCUCAGUAUUGACCAUCUUCAGCAUAGUAUGGAGCAAUGUCUGACAGACUUUGCUAUUUUCUUACUGUUUGAAAAAGGCUUCCAAGCAAAGAGUAGGCAUAUUUCCUGUCGUUUACUAUUGACUGUAUUGUCAGUACAGUCAGAACAUCUUCCUGAUGUUCUGUAGCCACAACUUCUGAUGUCCACACACAAAUACGUAAAACUGAACUUUUCUAGACAUCAGUGAAAUUCCUGCUUCUGCCACUAGCUCCCAAAGCAAGACAGGCUCAGCCAGUUGCCCUCCAGCUGUGAUACAGCACCAGAUAGCAUGCCAUAUUGUCCACACCAACUCUCCAGCCGCAGUUCUCCAUCCCUGUUCCCAGCAGCACUAGCAACCGUUCCGGAACAACUCCGAGCUUAGGUACACUGAAGUCUAUGAAGUUUCCUAAACAGCUGUAAGCCUUCAUGCUGAAACCUGAAAUCACUCACCUUCUUUUAACAAUGGCAUUUCUC
ensembl:lncRNA